rnacentral:rRNA from 1 species
GAUGAACGCUGGCGGCGUGCCUAAUACAUGCAAGUCGAGCGAACGGACGAGACUCUUGCUUCUCUUAUGUUAGCGGCGGACGGGUGAUUAAUACGUGGCUAACUGACCUAUAAGACUGGGGUAACUUCGGGAAACCUUAUCUCAUACCCGUUAAUAUUUUGAACCUCAUGGUUCAACAGAGAACGACGUUCUUGCUGUCACUUAUAGAUGUAUCCUCGCUGCAUUAGCUAGUUGGUAAGGUAACGGCGUACCAAGGCAACGAUGCAUAGCCGACCUGAGAGGGUGAUCGGCCACACUGGAACUGAGACACGGUCCAGACUCCUACGGGAGGCAGCAGUAGGGAAUAUUGCGCAAUGGGCGAAAGCCUGACGGAGCAACGCCGCGUGAGUGAUGAAGGUCUUCGGAUCGUAAAACUCUGUUAGUAGGGAAGAAGAUAUGUGUAAGUAACUGUGCACAUCUUGACGGUACCUAAUCAGAAAGCCACGGCUAACUACGUG